rnacentral:rRNA from 1 species
GGACGGGUGAGUAACGCGUAAGAAUCUAACUUCAGGACGGGGACAACAGUUGGAAACGACUGCUAAUACCCGAUGUGCCGGGAGGUGAAACCUAAUUGGCCUGAAGAAGAGCUUGCGUCUGAUUAGCUAGUUGGUGGGGUAAAGGCCUACCAAGGCGACGAUCAGUAGCUGGUCUGAGAGGAUGAGCAGCCACACUGGGACUGAGACACGGCCCAGACUCCUACGGGAGGCAGCAGUGGGGAAUUUUCCGCAAUGGGCGAAAGCCUGACGGAGCAACGCCGCGUGAGGGAGGAAGGUCUUUGGAUUGUAAACCUCUUUUCUCAAGGAAGAAGUUCUGACGGUACUUGAGGAAUCAGCCUCGGCUAACUCCGUGCCAGCAGCCGCGGUAAUACGGGGGAGGCAAGCGUUAUCCGGAAUUAUUGGGCGUAAAGCGUCCGCAGGUGGUCAGCCAAGUCUGCUGUCAAAUCAGGUUGCUUAACGACCUAAAGGCGGUGGAAACUGGCAGACUAGAGAGCAGUAGGGGUAGCAGGAAUUCCCAGUGUAGCGGUGAAAUGCGUAGAGAUUGGGAAGAACAUCGGUGGCGAAAGCGUGCUACUGGGCUGUAUCUGACACUCAGGGACGAAAGCUAGGGGAGCGAAAGGGAUUAGAUACC